rnacentral:rRNA from 1 species
UGCCAGACUCCUACGGGAGGCAGCAGUGGGGAAUAUUGCACAAUGGGGGGAACCCUGAUGCAGCGACGCCGCGUGGGUGAAGGAGUACUUCGGUACGUAAAGCCCUAUCAGCAGGAAAGAAAAUGACGGUACCUGACUAAGAAGCCCCGGCUAACUACGUGCCAGCAGCCGCGGUAAUACGUAGGGGGCAAGCGUUAUCCGGAUUUACUGGGUGUAAAGGGAGCGUAGACGGUUAUGUAAGUCUGGAGUGAAAGCCCGGGGCCCAACCCCGGGACUGCUUUGGAAACUGUGUAACUAGAGUACAGGAGGGGCAGGCGGAAUUCCUGGUGUAGCGGUGAAAUGCGUAGAUAUCAGGAGGAACACCAGUGGCGAAGGCGGCUUACUGGACUGUAACUGACGUUGAGGCUCGAAAGCGUGGGGAGCAAACAGGAUUAGAUACCCCCGUAGU